rnacentral:lncRNA from 10 species
AUGCCAGUGCCAGCCUUAAACCCGUCUCUCCAGUGCGGCUGACUCACAGCUUGACAAUGGCCAAGCAAAUCCUCCUCUGUGUUUGAUUAAUGAACCCAGUUUGCAUGGGGUUGGGGGCUGACUCUGGGGCUGCAGGAGGUGGGAGGGAGGCAGGGGUGCGGGGUUGAGGGGAGGAGCACAGGUUGGGGAAAGAGGGAACCAAUACUCAACAGAAACUGCUCUGCACUGGCCCCACAUUAGGGGGUUCCUAUCUACGGUUUCUAAAUGUGAGCCCCUUGACACCUGCUGUGGCAGACACAACCAUCCCCAUGGAGGCGCUGAGAACAAUGAAGCACAGACAGGCCAGGGUCACCCAAAGCCGUGAUGACAGCCCGCUUUUCUCUGGUGGUUCUACUCAACCGCUCCACUGAGGUGAUGGGAGAGGUGAGGGGCCCAGGAGGAAGGUGGAGCUCAAAGGCACUGUCUUCAUAGUCCACAGGUCUCAAACUCCAGCAUCUCAGAAUGAAAGGAUUCACAAGUGCUCACAAGAGGCUUGGCUGCCAGGGGAAGCUCCGACCUGAAGAUUUGAACUAAUGAGGGACUAUAAAGGCCAAGACCUUGUUCUUGCCAUUUUAGAGAUUCAGAAUAUAAUCUACAAAGUUAGAGAUUAUAAUUGGCCUCCACUGUGUGAUUUGAUUCCAAGCUACCCAUGAAGAAACCCAGACUCAGAGGUCACUUGCCUAGGGUCACACAGUGACCUGAGAUGGGAACCACAGGUCGCCACAUAGACUUGGUCAUCAGGAGUGGGCCUGGUGAGGCCAAAGAAGGAGAUUUCAUCUGUCAAGGUUACUCACACAGGGCAGCUGAUUCUGUUUCCUAGGGCCUGUGUCUUAGGCUCUUCCAUCUCUCUAACCACUAGAGUCCCUCUGUCCUCAAGUCAUCACAGUAAACUCCCAUUAUGUCUCGGAAUUCUCUUUGCCCAAGCACUCAGGCCCUGCCCUGGCAGCUCCAGAGGAAUGCCCGGGACCUUUGUGAGCUGAGUGAUGGGUCUCCCCAUUUGUGGCAGGGGGAAUUUGAAUGUCUUAGGGAGAGCCCUUCCCCUCCUCUCCUGAUAUGGGGACUUCUGAGUUCCCUGGGAGAAGUUGAGGGCUGGGGUAGAAGUGGUAGGGAGCUCCGCCUGUCUUCUGGUACCUUGG